AUGAAGCACCUGCCUCUCAUGUUGGAGGGCUCGGCCAGAGCGUGGCUGAACCAGUUAGCACCUAGCAGCAUUUACACUUGGGAAGAUCUCUCCCGAGUGUUCGUCACCACAUUCGAAGGCACAUGCAAGCGACCGGCAGGGCUGACGGAACUGCGGUCUUGCGUGCAGAAGCCAAAUGAAACUUUGAGGGAUUACAUCCAGAGGUGGAUCACGUUACACCACUCGGUGGAGAAUGUGCCUGACCACCAAGCAGUUUGUGCCUUCAAGGAAGGCGUCAAGUACAGAGAACUGAAUUUGAAAUUCGGUCGAACCGGGGGUAUGUCCCUGAAUCGGAUGAUGGAGAUUGCCACCAAGUAUGUUAAUGAUGAAGAUGAGGAUCGACUCAGGAGUGGCAAGCUCAAGUCAGUCACCCAAAAAACCGGAGGCAAUUCCAAUCGGAAACAGAAGCGGAAAGCCGAGCCAGCGGCUCCCGGGGAAGCCUUGGCUUUAACCCAAGGAAAGUUUAAAGAGAAACCUAAAGGGCCUUGGAACCCCAAAAAGGUUAAAGACCAGGACGGAAAUGAUGUGUUGGACUUGUCGUGUCUCGUCCACACAAAGAAAGAUGAAGAGGGUAAUUUCAUUUACCCGAAACAUACCACUCGACAGUGUCGACUCUUAAUCCAGCAGUUCCAGGGCAAGCAGCCCAAAGGUAAAGAAAAGGAGUCGGACAAGGUCGAGGACAAAGAAGACAGUGAUGACGGAUACCCUCAAGUCAAUUCCACCCUGAUGAUUUUUGCUGAUGUUGAGAGCAAAAGUCGACUGAAAGUCAUCAACCGAGAGAUAAAUAUGGUUGCUCCGGCGACACCAAGUUAUUUGAAAUGGUUCCAGACUGCCAUCACGUUCGACCAGUCCGAUCACCCAAUGCAUAUUGCCACCCCUGGGAGGCAAGCUUUGGUGGUCGACCUAGUGGUUGAAGGCACUCGACUGACCAAAGUCUUGAUGGAUGGUGGCAGUGGUUUGAACAUAUUGUAUGCAAAGACGUUGAAAGGGAUGGGCAUUCCGAUGUCCAGACUCAGUGCCAGCAACAUGAGUUUCCAUGGAGUCAUUCCUAGAAAGAAGGCUGAAUCACUCGGCCAGAUUGCUCUUAAUGUGGUUUUCGGUGAUUCCAAAAAUUACCACAAAGAAAAAUUGACAUUUGAAGUUGUAGACUUCCAAAGUGCCUACCACACUAUUUUGGGCAGGCCGGCUUAUGCACGCUUCAUGGCCCGCCAUGUUACGUGUACCUCAAAUUGA
rnacentral:rRNA from 1 species